GGGCGGGGACCCAGGCGGUGUGUGGCGAGGCGGGCUCAGCGCGGGAGGUAGACCCGGCCCGGCCCCGAAACUACUUCCUGGACCGAGGACUCGGCUGCAGGCGUGGCUGGGUCUCUGAGCUUCAAACUCCACCUGAGCUCAGACCUUACAGGCUUGUUCUCCACGGUUGCCAGUCCCUGGACCCCUGGUGCAGAGCAGUUGAGGACACCAAAGCUGAAGGAAGGGAAGGUGGUUGCCUAAAUUCCCAGCACUAAUAAUGAACUCUUAGAACAUCCACUCAACCUCCAGGUUUGGAAUGUCCACACGGAGCGCCAUCCCCACCCUGAGACGCGCCUGCAGGCGGGGGACGCACCUCCAGGCGGGGGACGCACCCUUCAGCCCUCCCCCUGUUGCACCUUCGCAGCCAAUCUGCAGGAAGUCCUCCUGAACGCCAGGAUGCUCUUCUGUUAUCUCUGCUUCUGGGCCAGCCCCUCGCCAGGGCCGCAGGGCUCCUCCCCAGCCUCCCCUCCACAACCCGCUCCUCUUUCAUC
ensembl:lncRNA